CUGAGAGAUGGAGUGACACAGUAGGAUAAGCUAACCGUACUGUUGGUUAUGUACGGCUAAGCAUUGAGGCAGUCUAAAUAGGCAAAUCCGUUUAGACAAUGCUAGGAUGUGAUGGGGAAGCCCUUCGGGGCGAAGUAGCUGAUUUCACACUGUCAAGAAAAGCUUCUAUCGAGUUUAAAGGCGCCCGUACCGUAAACCGACACAGGUGGGUGAGGAGAGUAUCCUAAGGCCAGCGAGAGAACUAUUGUUAAGGAACCCGGCAAAAUGACCCCGUAACUUAGGGAGAAGGGGUGCCUGUCUAUGACAGGCCGCAGAGAAUAGGCCCAAGCGACUGUUUACCAAAAACACAGGUUUCUGCUAAGUCGCAAGACGAUGUAUAGGAGCUGACGCCUGCCCGGUGCUGGAAGGUUAAGGGGAUCUGUUAGAGCAAUCGAAGCAGUGAACUUAAGCCCCCAGUAAACGGCGGCCGUAACAAUAACGGUCCUAAGGUAGCGAAAUUCCUUGUCGGGUAAGUUCCGACCCGCACGAAAGGCGUAACGAUUUGGGCACUGUCUCAACAAUAGACUCGGUGAAAUUGUAAUCCCGGUGAAGAUGCCGGGUACCUGCGACAGGACGGAAAGACCCCAUGGAGCUUUACUGUAGCUUGACGUUGGGUCUUGGUACUACAUGUACAGGAUAGGUGGGAGACUAUGAAGCAUGGACGCCAGUCUGUGUGGAGUCAUCCUUGGGAUACCACCCUUGUAGUACUGGGAUCCUAACCAUAGGCCUUGAAUCAGGUCUUGGAACACCGUCAGGUGGGCAGUUUGACUGGGGCGGUCGCCUCCUAAAAAGUAACGGAGGCGCUCAAAGGUUUCCUCAGCACGGUCGGAAAUCGUGCGAAGAGUGUAAAGGCAAAAGGAAGCUUGAUUGCAAGACAUACAGGUCGAGCAAGGACGAAAGUCGGACUUAGUGAUCCGGUGGUACCGCAUGGAAGGGCCAUCGCUCAACGGAUAAAAGCUACCCUGGGGAUAACAGGCUUAUCUCCCCCAAGAGUCCACAUCGACGGGGAGGUUUGGCACCUCGAUGUCGGCUCAUCACAUCCUGGGGCUGUAGUAGGUCCCAAGGGUUGGGCUGUUCGCCCAUUAAAGUGGUACGCGAGCUGGGUCCAGAACGUCGUGAGACAGUUCGGUCCCUAUCCGUCGCAGGCGUAGGAAAUUUGAGAAGACCUGUCCUUAGUACGAGAGGACCGGGAUGGACGUACCUCUGGUGUACCAGUUGUUCUGCCAAGGGCAUGGCUGGGUAGCUAUGUACGGAAUGGAUAAGCGCUGAAAGCAUCUAGGCGCGAAGCCAACUUCAAGAUAAGAUUUCCCACCGUAAGGGUAAGACCCCAGGAAGACUACCUGGUUGAUAGGUCGAAGGUGUAAGUGCAGUAAUGUAUUUAGCUUAUCGAUACUAAUAGGUCGAGGACUUGACC
rnacentral:rRNA from 1 species